CAGACAAGAUCGCACAGUCACGACAUGC
rnacentral:sRNA from 1 species